rnacentral:rRNA from 1 species
GACGAACGCUGGCGGCGUGCUUAACACAUGCAAGUCGAACGGAAAGGUCCUGCUUUUGUGGGGUGCUCGAGUGGCGAAGGGGUGAGUAACACGUGAGUAACCUGCCCUUGCCUUUGGGAUAACUUCAGGAAACUGGGGCUAAUACCGGAUAGGAGUUCCUGCUGCAUGGUGGGGGUUGGAAGGUUUCGGCGGUUGGGGAUGGAAUCGCGGCUUAUCAGCUUGUUGGUGGGGUAGUGGCUUACCAAGGCUUUGACGGGUAGCCGGCCUGAGAGGGUGACCGGCCACAUUGGGACUGGGAUGCGGCCCGGACUCCUACGGGAGGCAGCAGUGGGGAAUAGUGCACAAUGGGCGGAGGCCUGAUGCAGCAACGCCGCGUGCGGGAUGACGGCCUUCGGGUUGUAAUCCGCUUUCGCCUGUGACGAAGCGUGAGUGACGGUAAUGGGUAAAGAAGCACCGGCUAACUACGUG